rnacentral:rRNA from 1 species
GGCGUUGGCUUGCUGGUGGCUCGCGAUGCAGGGAGUCUUGUUGCUUCUUGCACGCGGUCGCUUUGUCAUGUCUAGCGUCGUCGGCGUGCACUUCUCCCCUAGUAGGACGUCGCGACCCGUUGGGUGUCGGCCUACGGCCCGGUCGGUCGACUGGCGCGGCGCGCAUACUGCGAUCGCGUCAGACCACCGGUCGCCCGGCCGCCUGCCCGGCGGUAGAGAUCGCUUUCUAUUUUUACGGUAUCGAGCCGCACUAAGUGCGUUCCUGGCUCGUCGGCAGGGUGCGUCUCGCUCGGCUUAACGGACCUGGAGCCGUUGCCGGGCGCUUGACGUGCCUCUAGUCGACGAUGUUCUCGGACGGGCUCGUCACAUUCGAACGGAUAUACCAGUCGGCGACGCUACUGCUUUGGGUACUUUCAGGACCCGUCUUGAAACACGGACCAAGGAGUCUAACAUGUGCGCGAGUCAUUGGGACUUGUUUUAAGCCUAAAGGCGCAAUGAAAGUGAAGGUCCGCUUUAUGCGCGACCGAGGGAGGAUGGCUCGCGUCACGAUGCGAGUCCGCACUCCCGGGGCGUCUCGUGCUCAUUGCGAGCUGAGGCGCACCCAGAGCGUACACGUUGGGACCCGAAAGAUGGUGAACUAUGCCUGGUCAGGACGAAGUCAGGGGAAACCCUGAUGGAGGUCCGUAGCGAUUCUGACGUGCAAAUCGAUCGUCGGAWCUGGGUAUAGGGGCGAAAGACUAAUCGAACCAUCUAGUAG